GUGCGUACACAUGCGAGUCGAACGAAGUAGCAGUACUUAGUGGCAGACGGGUGAGUACAUGUGGUAUCUGCCCUUUGGCCGUGGAAUACACGAGGAAACUUGUGCUAAUACCGGAUAAGUCUUUACGGAGAAAGCUUUAUGCACCAUUGGAUGAGCCUGCACUUGAUUAGUUUGUUGGUGGGGUAAUGGCCUACCAAGACUGUGAUCAAUAGCUGAUUUGAGAGGAUGAUCAGCCACAUUGGGACUGAGACACGGCCCAAACUCCUACGGGAGGCAGCAGUGGGGAAUCUUGCACAAUGGAGGAAACUCUGAUGCAGCGAUGCCGCGUGAGUGAAGAAGGCCCUUGGGUUGUAAAGCUCUUUCGUCGGGGAAGAAAAUGACUGUACCCGAAUAAGAAGGUCCGGCUAACUUCGUGCCAGCAGCCGCGGUAAUACGAAGGGGGUUAGCGUUGUUCGGAAUUACUGGGCGUAAAGCGCACGUAGGCGGAUUGGAAAGUUGGGGGUGAAAUCCCGGGGCUCAACCCCGGAACUGCCUCCAAAACUAUCAGUCUAGAGUUCGAGAGAGGUGAGUGGAAUUCCAAGUGUAGAGGUGAAAUUCGUAGAUAUAUGGAGGAACACCAGUGGCGAAGGCGGCUCACUGGCUCGAUACUGACGCUGAGGUGCGAAAGUGUGGGGAGCAACAGGAUUAAUACCUGGUGUCAC
rnacentral:rRNA from 1 species